CGCGCGAUACAGGGUGACAGCCCCGUACACAAAAAUGCACAUGCUGUGAGCUCGAUGAGUAGGGCGGGACACGUGGUAUCCUGUCUGAAUAUGGGGGGACCAUCCUCCAAGGCUAAAUACUCCUGACUGACCGAUAGUGAACCAGUACCGUGAGGGAAAGGCGAAAAGAACCCCGGCGAGGGGAGUGAAAAAGAACCUGAAACCGUGUACGUACAAGCAGUGGGAGCACGCUUAGGCGUGUGACUGCGUACCUUUUGUAUAAUGGGUCAGCGACUUAUAUUCUGUAGCAAGGUUAACCGAAUAGGGGAGCCGAAGGGAAACCGAGUCUUAACUGGGCGUUAAGUUGCAGGGUAUAGACCCGAAACCCGGUGAUCUAGCCAUGGGCAGGUUGAAGGUUGGGUAACACUAACUGGAGGACCGAACCGACUAAUGUUGAAAAAUUAGCGGAUGACUUGUGGCUGGGGGUGAAAGGCCAAUCAAACCGGGAGAUAGCUGGUUCUCCCCGAAAGCUAUUUAGGUAGCGCCUCGUGAAUUCAUCUCCGGGGGUAGAGCACUGUUUCGGCAAGGGGGUCAUCCCGACUUACCAACCCGAUGCAAACUGCGAAUACCGGAGAAUGUUAUCACGGGAGACACACGGCGGGUGCUAACGUCCGUCGUGAAGAGGGAAACAACCCAGACCGCCAGCUAAGGUCCCAAAGUCAUGGUUAAGUGGGAAACGAUGUGGGAAGGCCCAGACAGCCAGGAUGUUGGCUUAGAAGCAGCCAUCAUUUAAAGAAAGCGUAAUAGCUCACUGGUCGAGUCGGCCUGCGCGGAAGAUGUAACGGGGCUAAACCAUG
rnacentral:rRNA from 1 species